UGAGUCGGACCAAACAUCUCGUCCCUUCUCCCAAAAGAAGUAUACACUGCCAUUUUCCAAGACAAUUCUGCACCAAACAAUACUUAUAAGAUUUACUGAAAUAAUUAUAUAUCACACUAUCGAAUAAAGGUGAACCAAAGAUAAUGAACAUAUAUAUGUUUAGUUUGGUGUUCCGUGCAUAUAUUAUAAAUAUGUUUUCUAAUUGGCACCUAAUGUCUGGAUUUGCCAUACCCCAACU